rnacentral:rRNA from 1 species
UACGAAGGGGGCUAGCGUUGUUCGGAAUUACUGGGCGUAAAGCGCACGUAGGCGGAUUUGUAAGUCAGGGGUGAAAUCCCGGGGCUCAACCUCGGAACUGCCUUUGAUACUGCAAGUCUCGAGUCCGAUAGAGGUGAGUGGAAUUCCUAGUGUAGAGGUGAAAUUCGUAGAUAUUAGGAAGACCACCAGUGGCGAAGGCGGCUUGCCAGAACGCGCUCGACGGUGAGGGAUGAAAGCUGGGGGAGCAAACCGG